rnacentral:tRNA from 1 species
GCCUUGAUGGCUCAGCGGUACAGUACCUGUCUCGUAAACAGGGGAUCGGGGGUUCGAAUCCCCCUCAAGGCU